rnacentral:rRNA from 1 species
GACGUAGGGGGCCAGCGUUGCUCGGAAUUACUGGGUGUAAAGGGUUCGUAGGCGGUGUGGCAAGUCGGGAGUGAAAUCUCUGGGCUCAACCCAGGAGUCUGCUUACCGAAACUGCUGUGCUUGAGUGGUGGGAGAGGCGCGUGGAAAUUGCAGGUGUAGCGGUGAAAUGCGUAGAUAUCUGCAGGAACACCCGUGGCGAAAGCGGCGCGCUGGACCACUACUGACGCUGAGGAACGAAAGCUAGGGGAGCAAACAGG